CAAUACCGAAGCUCUGGGUGUCAUAGUUUACUAUGGCGCGGUAGAGGAGCAUUCUCUGUGCAGUGAAGGGUGAUGGCGACUGACCCUGGAGCGCAGAGAAGUGAGAAUGCAGACAUGAGUAACGAUAAGAGCGGUGAAAUCCCGCUCCGCCGUAAAUCCAAGGUUUCCCGGGCAACGUUUUUCGUCCCGGGGUUAGUCGGGACCUAACCCGAGGCCGAUGGGCGUAGGGGAUGGCAAUCAGGUUAAUAUUCCUGAACCCAGUAAGGAGGACGCAUAAUGAAAAGCUACUAAGUGAUUGAAUUCUGAGGUGAGGCUACGGCCGAUCCGCAUAGCUGGACAGAGUGCCAAGAAAAGCCCUUACAUUAAUGGCCCGUACCGUAAACCGACACAGGUGGAUGGGUAGAAUAUACCAAGGCGCAAGAGUGAAACCUGGUCAAGGAACUCGGCAAAAUAGCCCCGUAACUUCGGAAGAAGGGGUGCCCCUCUCCAGCAAUGGAAGGGGGCCGCAGUGAAAUGGCCCAACCGACUGUUUAGCAAAAACACAGCAUUGUGCUAAGGCGUAAGCCGACGUAUACGAUGUGACACGUGACCAAUGCCAAAAGAUUACGGUAAGGUGUUAGCCUUUAUGGCGAAGCUCCGAGCCCAAGUCCUGGUGAAUGUCGGCCGUAACUAUAACGGUCCUAAGGUAGCGAAAUUCCUUGUCGGGUAAGUUCCGACCUGCACGAAUCGUGCAACGAGUUGGGCGCUGUCUCGACCAGGUGCUCAGUGAAAUUGUAGUUCCGGUGAAGAUGCCGGACACCCGCAGAAGGACGGAAAGACCCUAUAGACCUUAACUGUAAGCUGUUAUUGGUUGUUCGAUCUUAAUGCUCAGCAUAAGUGGGAGACAUUGAAGGGUGCCUUUAGGGGCAUCUGGAGUCAUCAGUGAGAUACCACCCUUUAAUAUUGGAUAAUCUAACCCCGAGCCGUCAUCCGGCCGGGGGACAAUGGCAGCCGGUCAGUUUUACUGGGGCGGUAUCCUCCUAAAGAGUAACGGAGGAGCGCGAAGGUGGGCUCAGCACAGUUGGCAACUGUGUGUUGAGUGUAAAGGCACAAGCCCGCCUAACUGUGAGACCUACAAGUCGAGCAGAUACGAAAGUAGGCCUUAGUGAUCCGGCGGUAGAAUGUGGAAUUGCCGUCGCUCAACGGAUAAAAGGUACCUUAGGGAUAACAGGCUUAUCACGCCCAAGAGUUCAUAUCGACGGCGUGGUUUGGCACCUCGAUGUCGGCUCGUCGCAUCCUGGGGCUGGAGAAGGUCCCAAGGGUCCGGCUGUUCGCCGGUUAAAGCGGCACGCGAGCUGGGUUCAGAACGUCGCGAGACAGUUCGGUCCUCUAUCCUCUGUGGGCGUAGGAAAAUUGAAGGGUUCAGACCUUAGUACGAGAGGACCGGGUUUGACGCACCUCUGGUGUUCCAGUUGUUCUGUCAAGAGCAUUGCUGGGUAGCUAAGUGCGGAAAGGAUAAGCGCUGAAAGCAUCUAAGCGCCAAGCCAUUCCUGAGAUAAAUUUUCCCUGAAGGAUCGUGGAAGACGACCACGUUGAUAGGCUGGGGGUAUAAGUGCAGCAAUGUAUGUAGCUCACCAGUACUAAUCAUCCGUUCGACUUAAUUCC
rnacentral:rRNA from 1 species